GCGGUUCGUGCACCAGCCGUGCCGUCACUGGUAAUUCCACCCCCUUCCCUCCACUCUUCAGAGCCCUAACUCACAUCCUCUGAACCAGUUGUCAGACUCUUCUUCCUACUCUUUAAAUUACAACUCUUGCCUGAAGAGCGUGCAUACUGAACACGUUAUAUAUUAUUCUUAGCUGGCCAGGGCCGUUUACACGCCAAGGAUUUUCCUUUUGUCUCCUUAGCACGCAUGCUCACUUUACCCUUCCACCCUUUCUUUGAGGAAAGCGGAGGGAAGUUUCAGUGAGUUUCCCCUACGCGGGCCUAGACACAUUUCGCAGGGAUCAGCACCCAGGCUCUCCUAUGAGGUAUCACGGACACUCGCCAUUCUCACCUGUGGCCACCUGGUGUCCCCACAGCAACUUGUGCCUCAGUGAGGUCCCUGAGGGGGCAAAAAGUGACUUUCUUUCUAAGCAUAUAGGGAGCCAGGAAAUGCCAGCUAGAGUGACCAAGAAAGUAGCUAUUCCUACUGUGGUGAUGACUCAGCCGAUUAGAACAGACACUGAUCUGUAGAAUCCCUUUAAAAACCAGAAGGUUGUUCAGUGACAAUUAAAAUCAGAGAACACUAGCACAAAGAGAAGACCUUCAGGAAGACAUCUUCAAGCCGUAACUGGUAAUGCAGUUCUUCCCACUCAAAAGACCCUCGGCAUUUGCAUGUUUCUACACACAUG